rnacentral:rRNA from 1 species
GAGAAGUCGUAACAAGGUUCCGUAGGUGAACCUGCAGAUGGAUCAUCG